rnacentral:rRNA from 1 species
AGAGAAUAGAUACCCUGGUAGUCCUAGCCGUAAACGAUGGACACUAGGUGUUGGUGGUAUCAACCCCGCCAGUGCCGUAGCUAAACGCAUUAAGUGUCCCGCCUGGGGAGUACGGCCGCAAGGCUAAAAACUCAAAGGAAUUGACGGGGGCCCGCACAAGCAGCGGAGCGUGGGGUUUAAUUCGACGCAACGCGAAGAACCUUACCAGGGCUUGACAUGACCAGGACCGCGGCGGAAACGUCGCUUCCCCGCAAGGGGCCUGGCCACAGGUGUUGCAUGGCUGUCGUCAGCUCGUGUCGUGAGAUGUUGGGUUAAGUCCCGCAACGAGCGCAACCCUACUGUGUGUUGUAUCACUCACACGGGACUGCCGAGAGAAACUCGGAGGAAGGUGGGGACGACGUCAAGUCAGCAUGGCCCUUACGUCCUGGGCUACACCCACGCUACAAUGGCCGGUACAACGGGCGGCGAAACCGCGAGGUGGAGCAAAUCCCUUAAAGCCGGUCUCAGUUCGGAUUGUAGGCUGCAACUCGCCUACAUGAAGCCGGAGUUGCUAGUAACC